rnacentral:tRNA from 9 species
GCGGAAGUGGCUCAGUGGUAGAGCAUCUCCUUGCCAAGGAGAAGGUCGCGGGUUCGAAUCCCGUCUUCCGCUCCA